GCCCGGGUGGCGGAACGGUAUACGCGCAACACUUAAAAUGUUGUGUCCGCAAGGACUUGUGGGUUCGAAUCCCACCCCGGGCA
rnacentral:tRNA from 1 species